rnacentral:rRNA from 1 species
GAUGAACGCUGGCGGCGUGCCUAAUACAUGCAAGUCGAGCGAACGGACGAGAAGCUUGCUUUUCUGAUGUUAGCGGCGGACGGGUGAGUAACACGUGGAUAACCUACCUAUAAGACUGGGAUAACUUCGGGAAACCGGAGCUAAUACCGGAUAAUAUUUUGAACCGCAUGGUUCAAAAGUGAAAGACGGUCUUGCUGUCACUUAUAGAUGGAUCCGCGCUGCAUUAGCUAGUUGGUAAGGUAACGGCUUACCAAGGCAACGACGCAUAGCCGACCUGAGAGGGUGAUCAGCCACACUGGAACUGAGACACGGUCCAGACUCCUACGGGAGGCAGCAGUAGGGAAUCUUCCGCAAUGGGCGAAAGCCUGACGGAGCAACGCCGCGUGAGUGAUGAAGGUCUUCGGAUCGUAAAACUCUGUUAUUAGGGAAGAACAUAUGUGUAAGUAACUGUGCACAUCUUGACGGUACCUAAUCAGAAAGCCACGGCUAACUACGUG